ACGUAGGGUGCGAGCGUUAAUCGGAAUUACUGGGCGUAAAGCGUGCGCAGGCGGUUAUAUAAGUCAGGUGUGAAAGCCCCUGGCUCAACCUGGGGACUGCGUUUGAGACUGUAGAACUAGAGGGUGGUAGAGGGGGGUGGAAUUCCACGUGUAGCAGUGAAAUGCGUAGAGAUGUUGAGGAACACCGAUGGCGAAGGCAGCCCCCUGGGCCAAUACUGACGCUCAUGCACGAAAGCGUGGGGAGCAAACAG
rnacentral:rRNA from 1 species